rnacentral:rRNA from 1 species
AGUGGCGGACGGGUGAGUAACGCGUGGGCAACCUGCCUCGCACUGGGGGAUAACACUUAGAAAUAGGUGCUAACACCGCAUAGCGGGCGGGGGCGCAUGCCCCUGCCCUGAAAACCCAGGUGGUGCGAGAUGGGCCCGCGUCUGAUUAGCUGGUUGGCAGGGUAACGGCCUACCAAGGCGACGAUCAGUAGCCGGCCUGAGAGGGUGGACGGCCACAUUGGGACUGAGACACGGCCCAGACUCCUACGGGAGGCAGCAG